rnacentral:rRNA from 1 species
CCUACGGGUGGCUGCAGUGAGGAAUAUUGCGCAAUGGACGGAAGUCUGACGCAGCAACGCCGCGUGCGGGAUGAAGGAGCUAUGCUUCGUAAACCGCUGUAGCACGGGAAGAAAGAUCUCUUUGGGAGACAUGACUGUACCGUGAAAGUAAGCAUCGGCUAACUACGUGCCAGCAGCCGCGGUAAUACGUAGGAUGCAAGCGUUGUCCGGAUUUACUGGGUGUAAAGGGUGCGCAGGCGGGCUAAUAAGUCAGAGGUGAAAGCCUGGAGCUUAAC